GCUGUGAUGGCUGAGUGGGGAAGGUGUUGGACUUGAAAUCUGAUGGGGUUUCCCCAUGCAGGUUCAAUUCCUGCUCACAGCA